rnacentral:lncRNA from 1 species
UGCCUGAGUUCAUCCAGAGCCUGAAGAGGCCAUUGGUUCUAUGCCCCAAUGCCUGUAUAUAUGAUGGGACAGUGAAUCUGGGUGCUUUCUGUGCUCCAUGUGGAGAAGGUGAAGCAGUCACUCUUGUCAUCUCUCUAAAGAACUGAGUUGGAGCGCGUCUUUGGAUAGGAGCCGUGCUGCUGCUGACUGGGGAAGAGGUGUGGUCUAAUGGUGACUGAGCCUGCCAGAAUUUUGAAACAGACAGGUGUCCAGAUCAUCUUGGCUCAUCUGGAUUUUGGAUGCUUUGUCACUGAGAAGAUUAGGAAGAUGAGGCUCAGAAAAAUGAAGUGACAUACCUCUGAGUGAGGCAAAGCUGAGUCUGGUGACUCCAAACCGCAGUGAGCUGCUGCAUCCCUGGUGAUGAGACGGGCUUCCUGCUUUCAUACAAAGCUCUCGAGUCUUCUCCAAAGAGUACACCCAAGACCUCGCCCGGUAAAACUGGAUGACUUUCCUCAGGCAUAGGAAAGGUAACAUUCCAGGAAUGGAGGUUGAAGUCAAGAGAUUUAGGGGCACCAAGGGCAAACUUUCUACUUCACAGAUUUUCAAAGGACUGGCAUUCUGUGCAGCAUCAAGUAUGUUAGUAGCUGAGCCCAUUCGUGGUACUUCAUAAACACUCGAAUUCUUGAGACCCUCAUGUUCCACUCUUCUACAGUAUAUAGUUGGUUAAAAGUCCCCAUUUUUCUGGUAAUAGCAUUCUUGGAAAUUGUGCUUUGAGAUCAGUCCUUCUGGGAAAGGCAUAACCUACUGAAGAGAUACUGAGAAGAGUUGAAACCAUAAAUGUCGAGCUUACCCAGGAGAGUAAGUAUAAACCGCUUGCAUCUUUCAGGCUGAAUUAUAGCUUAUCAAGCACACAUUAAAACUUUAAGCCUUUUUUUCCUUAAGUAAGAAUAAAUCUAAGUUGACUAUUCCAGCAUAUGUAUUUGUUUUCCCUACACUGUCUAUAAACCAUGUCCAAGGUGAGUAUUUAUAAGCCUGAGCGAAAACUAGACAAACAAUUCUGAGAAUAAGUGACAACUAUAACAGUUCGUGAUAAGACAGUCACAACAAAGGAAAUGCUAUGCAUUAAGUGAUUUUUCUUGCAAAUCCUUUAUACAUAUGUCAGGCUGUGUGCUGGCAGAGUGAAAGAGAAUAAAUCAAAGGGAAUACACGUGUAAGAAAGGGUUUUUAGGCAAACGCUGUCUUGCAUGCAUAAAUCAAAUAAAUAGUGAUUUAAAAAAAAACCCAAAGGAACAGGAUAGUUUCUAUGGAAUUUUACACAAUUAAGUUAUUUAGUAGUUGCACAACAAUUUGUAUUUAUGGAGCACUUUACAAUUAUUUGUUCAUUAAAUCUUAUGACAUUUCUGGCAAGCAGGUCUAUACCAUCAGUUUAAUUUUAUAGUCAAGGUAGAUGAAGCAAGGAAUUGUAAAGGAGCUUUCUGAAGGUUGCACAGCUAGGUUUGAGCAGGACUUACUUUAGAACUCUUGCUUCCACAAUCUUGAGUUGCAGUCCUGGGUGGAUGUUCAGUUGCCUCUUAGCUCCCUUCUAGAGGAGGGAUGAGUCAUGAGGCAUACCUGGACAUCCAGAGAAGGGUGUUUGUUAAAGGCAGUAGCUCCUGGCAGUUAAUCUAGAAGCACCAGUGUUUGGUAUUGGCAUUAGCAUUGCAGCUGGAAUAUGGACCCAUUGGCAUGUUGACACAUGUGUAUAUGAUACAAACACUCAUCUGCAAUAGAGCCUCAUUUGAGAUGUUCAUAUUGGUAGUCUAAAGCUGUAAUUAGCCCAGGGCAUGAUACCUGGCAGGGGGGUGUGCUUUAAAAAUAAACUAAUGCCCCAGGAUGAAUUGAAUCUAUGAGACUAGGGCUUGGACAGGGAUAUUUUCAAAGAGUGACCAGGUUUUUCUGACUUGUGGUCAGAGUUGAGAACCACUGGUAUAAAAAUCCUUCCAUGUCUGUAGCAGUUUGGCAGUUUGUUCACUGCAAAAAGACAGAUGACGGAGCGACUAGUGAGGGCUCAAACUCAGCUCACACACAGUGUGCCCUAAUUUUGAGGUGGCUUUUGUUCUCAGAAAAAGUGUCACCUAUUGUCUAAUUCCCACCAAGGAAGCCCCAAGUCAUUCCCUUACUCUUGAAUAUGCAUUAUUGUAUAUCCUACGUAUUUCAUUUUCAGCUUAUUUUCACUCCUGCAUGCUUAGAACUUGAUAUACAAGAGGAUACAGCAACAAAACCAUCACAGUCUUGUCCCUAUAGAGUCCACAGUCUGUUGAGAAGAAAAGCGACAGAACAGGGAGCUCCACAACAUGGGAAGUGCUCCAGUAGGCAUGAGUGCAAGAAGCUGGGGAGGACAUUGGAUGGGCACUCCACCCAGACCUGGGGCACCAAGGGACCUUGUAAUGGAGGUGGUAUAAAAGGGAAGGAGUAGCAUUCAUAGCUGAAUGGCAGCAUUUGAAAAAACCUGGAAUUGAGAGACACUGAGGAUUACUGGGGAACUGGCAGUGGUUCAGCCCUUCCUGAUGGAGGGUGGAGGGAAUAAAAGCUGGAGGGGGAGCUGGGAGUGCAGCAAGUUGUCCCAGUCUUCCAACAGCUGGGAUGGCCACUUGCAAGCCUAAUUACUGUACUGGGCUCCUCAGUCUUAUCUUUCUCUUUCCAUCUUUCCUCUCUCCCUAGGUCCCACCUUCUUUUCAGAUACAGUCCUGAAAAGAAGAGCAGAAAGCACCAAUUCCAAGUGUACUCUACUUCCUGUAAUCUCCAGCUCUAGGUACUGAAAAGAAACAAAAAGCUUGGUAGCAGGCAAAGGAACAAACACUUGUAGGGAUGCAGAUGUCCCUGCCUCACUUGGUGCCACCUGGAAAAACCUCUAAUUGGCUCAAAUCCCUCCUUUCUUACCACUUUUAAUUGAUAUGCCUGGUCCUGAACUCACAUUCAACAUUCCCAUCCUAAUUCCUGGACUGGUGGGGGUGGCAUGGAGGUGGAAAAUGGGGUGGUAUGAAUGAAACAUGCUUGGGCAUGAACUCAUGAAAUUACUGAAGCUGGUGGUGAGUACAUGAGCAUUGACUAUACUAGCUCCUCUAUUUCUGAUUACGUUUGAAAUUUUCUAUUAUAAAACAAAGAAAAAC